CAUCUUAACAUUUAUAUAAAUAUAUAUCAUAACCUAAAUAUAAAUAAUUUAACAGCUUAAAUUAGAAAAAAAUAAAAAUCUCGGGCGUAGCCCGGGUUAAUCCCUAGUCUUAUACAAUAAAAGGAGGUUUUUUCCUCUCCAUAGGGCGUUUGAUGACAUCAAUAGAAAAAGAAAAAAUGGGAAUUGAUCUAUCUCUUUCUCGAAACAAACGAAAAGGAAAGAAAAGAUGGCAUCUAAUACUUAUACGUUGCGUUUCGUCUUAAUGAUUUCGGUUGGACUUUUAGAUUCCAGGCCCAUUAAUGAUGUUUGUCCCUUCGUCACUUUGCCCUAGACAUUAGCGUCUCCGACGAAACUUCCUGAAAUUGUGAUCGACGAAUGUCUUUACGUUUCCUUCUCCAUAACGGCGGAUUAAUUCCUAUUUUGCGCCCAGCUUCUGCGUAAUUAACCUACUCUUCCACUCUGCAUCAUUCAAUCGAUUUCAUAGCAUCCCCAAAGUAACCGACUCAAGCUUCGACUAUAAAUAUCCUCAAUUUGAGCCAUGAACAACACAGCUUCGAUGAGAUUAAUAAGAAUAGUCUAUUCUACUUACCGAUUACUGCGAUUGUGAAUUCCUUUAUCUUCCUUGCCGAUUUGAAAGAUGGGCGCUGCUCCAACAUUGCAGAGGUUCAUUUGCUGAGGUUUUGGGAGGCGAGAUGGGUCCUGUGCGAAGAGAUAUUGUGAUACCUAAGCGUUGUACCCGGUAACUAUGAUCCGACAGAUUGCUGCAGGUGGUACUCACUCUAUAGUUUGAUACGCGAAGGUUAUGUGUGGACUUGGGGUCAUCCGUGACAUCCCCAUGACAUGUAUAGAUUAAAAUUAAAACUCACAAAAAGGCAUUUGGUGCAUUAUUUGGCUACUACUUGAAUGUUCGAUUUUGAUUUCCUCUCUACUGAAGAAAACAAAUAUUUGUUCCAGUGUUCAAGGUCCUCUGUCGGAGCAUUUUGUAAUGUGGCUCUUGAAUAAGAUGGGAGGCUCUUCGCACAACCCCUCAUCAUGUCCAAGUCCAAGGCCUCGAUGUCGAUGAUCUCACUUUGGUUGAUAUUGAUGUGGGUGGCUUGCAUUCAACUUCUUUAACUGCUAGGUGGACGGUUGGGGAAGAGAGAACACGGAAGACUCGGGUUAGGUGACAAUGACAAGAUCAGCAAAAUAGUUCCACAGAGAGUUAAUCUUCUCCCUGACAAAGAUAUCCUGCAUGUUGUAAAGCCUUAAACUUUAAUUAUCUUUAGAUCUCUAAAAGAGGAUCUCAUUCAUGUAAAGAAGCGUUAACCUUUAAUGAUCAAUAACCUUUUUACAGAUACGUUUCUUGCGGCUGAACACAUUCCGUUGCUUUGAAAAGAGAUGGCAAAAUAUUAUCGACUGCUCUCUUGAAACCCAAGAAAUGUGCUUUAAGGUUUACUUCAUAAGUAAAGAGUCAUUUUCCUAUCAUUAUCUUUGUGAUCAGAUUGGUAGAGGAGAUCAUGGCAGACGGUUAUGGAAGGAAUGUAACACCUGGACAGCCAUUGGAGUUGUUUUUAUAUUUCACCACCUGAAAGAAGCUUUAAUAACGCCAGAAAGAAGUAAGGAAAAUGGUCAGCUGCUUGCGGUGGGCUCCACAGUCUUGCCAUCGUGGAAUGAAUCAAGGCAAAAGGAGAGUAUGCUUCAUUAAAAGGGGGAGGGGGAAGAGAGAAUGUAAUCACCAUUUCAUAGCUAUCGGAAUUGAUACCAGUAAAUGAGGAUAAGCAUGAUGGCACAAGCUCUGGAAGACUGGAACCAUCGGGGUUUAGAUCCUUGCCGCAGGAUAAGCACUGGCUAGCGACUAUGAUAGUGACAUGAGUACAUGACUGGUCAUGAGAAUCACAAACGCACCAGCUCCAAAACUGUCUUUAGCGGCUUGCUUGAUAACCUCGGUUAUAUUCUCUUCAUCUGUUCAUUGAGGAAUUAAGGCACAAAUUAUUAGAAAAGAAAUUUUAUAUCAAUUCAACAUAACUAAAUAUAAUAAACAGUUUCCAGACAACUAAUAAACAAUAUAUCUAUUAUACUUUCACAAUCAAUCAUUAAUUCAUUUACGGAACAACAAGAAAAAUUAAAAUUAAAGAUAUUCCUACUAAAAAAUCAAAAUGAAAUAAAAAUAAAAACCAAAGCAAUAUAACAAGAAAAUAAUAAAUUAAUAGAGUAAAACAAUAAAAUAUAUAGUGUUGAAAAAUAUGACAACUUAUACACUUUCCAUUCAUCAAAUAAAUACAACUAAAAAAAAUUUACUUCAAACAAAAAACUGUUUUUGAUCAUUAAACUAGAUAUUUUUUUUGAAAAUAACCAAUUGUACACACAUCACAUUCAUCAAAGACAAUAUAUAACAGUCUUGGCAAGAUGUCUCUCAAAGAUUAACAUUGAAACUCACUACAUCAAAAGAAUCCGAUGGUGUUUUCAAAACAAUAACACAAUUUCUAAAACAAAUGGCAUGUUUGUGUAGCAAUAAUCUAUCUAGCAUAAUAAUAAUGUUAUAAAUGAGAGAUAUGGAGGUUCGGAAAACAUAUUUAGAGAAUUUCAUAUGGAAUCAAAACAAAACAGAAAGAGAUCAAUGUUGAAGAUGCAUCAAAUAAUCAUAACAACAAUGAGUGAGAGUUACAAGGCUUUUGGUGACACUAAAGAAUAUGGAAACAACAAUAAUAUACAAUCGCAACAACAUAGAAAACAGAUCUACCAUCUGCUAAUACUACAAACAAAUUAAAAAGUGUGUAUUAAUGAUAAUAAACGAACAAAACUAAGUUGUUAAGCAAAAAAAAAACAACAAAACAAAGUUAUAUAAGUUUAAAAUCACAGCACAUAUAGUAUUAUUUUUUUAUAAUUAAUCAAUAUAAAAAAUUUAUACAACAUAUAAGAACAUGAAGAGAAAACAAUUAGAACAGACGUUAAAUGGCAUGAAUUUAAACAAAAUGGACACAAAAAUAAUUCCAAAAACGAAAUUCAAGUAGCAAAGAUGACAUGUUACUCUUAUUCAACAAUAGUGUAGAAAAAAAUGGCCAAACACAUGCAAGAAAUAACAUUUGUUUCCUUUACACAAAUACAAUUGAAAGAGUCGGUAAUUGUUAGAUUCGGGUUUAAUUAUGGGCUUCCAACCUAAAAUCAAUUGGUGAUUAGUGGAUUGGCUCUAACCUUUUAUAUAUUACUUAAUGUCCUUUAGAAUUUCCGAUGUGGGAUAUAUAUCCCUAAUACCUCUCUCCUCGAGAUGAUGUCUCUUAUCGACCAGAAAUCUCAGAAUUUUAGGACAUUUAUACUCGGUCGAGCGAGUUUAACACAACCUUUAUACUCGGUUGGAAGAGUUAAUCACGAUCUUUAUACCUUAUCAGAAGGGUUAAUUUUAAUUUUAAUUAGGGGUUUAGGGUAUUUAGGAUCUGGGCUCUGAUACCAUGUUAGAUUCGGGUUUAAUUAUGGGCUUCCAACUUAAAACCAAUUAGUAAUUAGUGGAUUGGCCCUAACCAUUUAUAUAUUACUUAAUGUCCCUUAGAAUUCCCGAUGUAGGAUAUAUAUCCCUAAUAGUAAUAAUAAAAAUUAGACGAUAUAAUAACAAAGGUUAUAUAAAGAAUACUAAAUACUAAAUAAUAUAGAAAUUUUGCUAAUACUAACGGGAACAUUUCCGCGCGAAGCGCGGACAAACCCCUAGUCUUUUACGAAGAUCAAGUUUGAGGAAUUUCUAAGGGUUUAAGAAAGUGUCGUUAAUCAAUUAAUUCACUAACCUUUACAAAACCUAAAAUGGUGUGGCGUUUUUGAAAGAAAAGCUUAAGUUUUAGAAUCUGAAAUGUUUUCUGGAUAAUUGUGUCAUAAAUUUUAAAAAGAAGCUGUGCAAAUUAUUAUAGUUACCGGAAAAUUAUUAUAGUUACCUGAUCAUAUAAUAAUUUUAUUGAAUAUUUAGCCGGAAAAUGCUCAUGCAAUAGAAAAGUUUUAUAUGAAAUGGAAGACCUAACUGCCUAUGCAAUUCAUCGCCUAAAAAUGGAAGAAAGAAGUCAAAGAACCAAUUAUUGUUUGACACCACUUGUAGAUCUUCCUUGUCAACUUUUAAUUUCUUAGAGAGAUUGUUUAUCUUCCAAUAUCCUGUUGGUAAGGUUACUGAAAUGUAAACUGUAUGAGAUAUCUAGCAGGAAAAAAUGACUAAAAUAUAAGAGUCAUUGUUACACCGGAAAACAGUUGACAUAUAUGUGACUGUUCACAUAAGCAAGAGUGUUUGAUGAACAAAUCCAUAAUCAUAUUAGCCGGACUUGUAACUUCCUAUAAAAUUAUCAUAUUUUGUUACUAAUAUUACUGGUGUUGUUUAUAUUAUUACACAUAUGUGCCCAUAUCUCUCUCAACUUCACAAAAUAACAACAAAUUAAAGAUUGGCUUUUCCUUUGCGUAUAUGUCUUUACAAAUUUCUCUGUGUUUUCAUUUUCUUAUGACGUCAUCAAAGGUAUUCAAUGUGAUGCCUGAACCUCACUUGCAACCCUCAUGUAUACCCCUUUUCGGCUCUUCUUUUGUAUCUGCUCAUGUAUAUACGUGAAUAAAUGUCACACUAUAGUAUGGUGUACACUUUAUUGUAAAUCAUGAAUUUUUUUUUGCGGAAUUGACUGCCCCUUAUAAAGCUUUAUUUUUACGGAACUUGAGCAUGUUCAAUGGGAAAGACUCUAAUGAAUCUCUUAAGUAAUAUUUAAAUACUAAAUUUUUGCUAAGAGAUCUUGUUAAAGUAAUUUUGUUCUCUUAGCUCCAAUGGUAUGUAACCACUGAAUGAAUCAACAAACUCAAACUCAAUGUGCAUGUGUGUGUGUAUGUUAAUGUUCCUUUUCUCAUUGUUGUAUGUAACCACUGAAUGAAUCAACAAACUCAAACUCACAAGAUUACAUGUGACUGAAUGAGACAAAAACACCAAAGUGAUGUUUAGACUGCAUACCACGAGUUUUAGUCUGAGUCUCUCCUCCCGCAAGCAAGGAAUACAACUGCUUAACAAAUGAGUUCUCUAAAGAAUCAAGAUACAAGUUGUGUUUUUCAUUGGUGACUUAAAAGGUAAUGCCUUUGGUCUUAUUACCGGAUAACCUGCGAACUGAUUACUUUUAGAAUUUUGCUUUUGAGGGAAUGACUACUUUGUCUUAGGUGAGCUUCUAGGAAAACCGGGGAGUAGAAACUUUACAUGGCCAUGAUCCUUUAUCUCCUGCGAGCCCCUUGAACCUGGUCCUUUACGUUCUUUUACUUCAACCACUGAUUUUCCUGGAGUCUUUGUCAUCUUAGGCAAUGGUUUCUUGACCAAUUCAGUCUUCUUUAAGUGCUUCGCUUUCUCUGAACCUGUGAGACUCUUCGCAGAGUUGCUUCCAUUGCCUUUAUCACUCACUGUCUUCAAAGUCCCUCCUUUCAACUCUGCUUUUGCUCUCUUAGCCAUGGCCUGUAGAGUAGUAACAGACUGUUUCUUCCUAGCUUAAUCCCGGGAAGAUACUUGACAUUUUCCUAAUCAAGAAACCAAGAAAGCAUCUUUGUUUAUGUAAUCUAUAAGGCUUGAAGCAUCUUUGGUUAAGUACUCUGUAAGACUUGAAGAAAACAGAGUUUCAAUCAAAGAGAGGCAGAAGAAAUAUACUUGAUCAAGAGAAAACUCCAAAGAAACAAUAAAAUUGAUCAAGAACCAAAUGAUCCUCUCAUCUCUAUUGCAACAGCAUUGCACAGAAGCAGUGUCACUAAAAGCUGAUGCUGUUUCUGAACAACCCGGAAUAUCACAGCUAAAGAAAAAUCACCAUCA